GUAGAACGCUGAAGGAGGAGCUUGCUUCUCCGGAUGAGUUGCGAACGGGUGAGUAACGCGUAGGUAACCUGCCUGGUAGCGGGGGAUAACUAUUGGAAACGAUAGCUAAUACCGCAUAAGAGUAGAUGUUGCAUGACAUUUGCUUAAAAGGUGCAAUUGCAUCACUACCGGAUGGACCUGCGUUGUAUUAGCUAGUUGGUGGGGUAACGGCUCACCAAGGCGACGAUACAUAGCCGACCUGAGAGGGUGAUCGGCCACACUGGGACUGAGACACGGCCCAGACUCCUACGGGAGGCAGCAGUAGGGAAUCUUCAGCAAUGGACGGAAGUCUGACCGAGCAACGCCGCGUGAGUGAAGAAGGUUUUCGGAUCGUAAAGCUCUGUUGUAAGAGAAGAACGAGUGUGAGAGUGGAAAGUUCACACUGUGACGGUAUCUUACCAGAAAGGGACGGCUAACUACGUGCCAGCAGCCGCGGUAAUACGUAGGUCCCGAGCGUUGUCCGGAUUUAUUGGGCGUAAAGCGAGCGCAGGCGGUUAGAUAAGUCUGAAGUUAAAGGCUGUGGCUUAACCAUAGUACGCUUUGGAAACUGUUUAACUUGAGUGCAAGAGGGGAGAGUGGAAUUCCAUGUGUAGCGGUGAAAUGCGUAGAUAUAUGGAGGAACACCGGUGGCGAAAGCGGCUCUCUGGCUUGU
rnacentral:rRNA from 1 species